rnacentral:lncRNA from 1 species
AUCGAAUGAAGGGGAAGUGCUGGCGGAUUGAAGUACACCACAGAGAUGUGAUUGGUCUCUGAUACAGUACACGAACUCAGCCUUGUGGAAUCACACACACAAGACAAAGGACAAGCUUUUCUCUUAAGAACACUUAAGGAGAAAAUUGAAGAAAAUUCGGGUUCUUUAUUGAUAAUAGGGUGAAAAAUCGUACAACUGCUGCAGGGGGACUUUAUAAGAGUUCUUCAGCUAGCCCUAAGGCCGAAAUAAAUGUAAAAGUGCAAUAAAGGAAACAAAUAAAACUACAAAUACAAAGCCAUUGUUUUUGGAAAGAAAAUAAGUAAAAUACUAAAGCAAACUUGAAACCUCGUGAUGAGCACGUCUCCUAGCCGUUGUUGUGGCUUAAUGGACCUGCAAUUAUCGAAAAUAUUGAAUAGAAC